UUGGAGGGCAAGUCUGGUGCCAGCAGCCGCGGUAAUUCCAGCUCCAAUAGCGUAUAUUAAAGUUGCUGCAGUUAAAAAGCUCGUAGUUGAAUUUCGGGACCAAUAUGUCGGUCGUGCCUCGGUACGUACUGGCAUCGUUGGUUUCUCCCUUCUGACGAACCAUGAUGUCAUUCAUUUGGUGUCGUGGGGAAUCAGGACUGUUACUUUGAAAAAAUUAGAGUGUUUAAAGCAGGCUCACGCUUGAAUACAUUAGCAUGGAAUAAUGAAAUAGGACGUUUGAUUCUAUUUUGUUGGUUUCUAGGAUCGACGUAAUGAUUAAUAGGGAUAGUUGGGGGCAUUAGUAUUCAAUUGUCAGAGGUGAAAUUCUUGGAUUUAUUGAAGACUAACUACUGCGAAAGCAUUUGCCAAGGAUGUUUUCAUUAAUCAAGAACGAAAGUUAGGGGAUCGAAGACGAUCAGAUACCGUCGUAGUCUUAACCAUAAACUAUGCCGACUAGGGAUCGGAUGAUGUUAAUUUUUUAAUGACUCAUUCGGCGCCUUACGGGAAACCAAAGUGUUUGGGUUC
rnacentral:rRNA from 1 species